CAUUGAGGAGAGUGAGGAGGAGGACAGCGCGUUUCACCACAGGACGGAGAAGACGAUAAUUAGCGAUUAUUUCUGCAAAAAGUUGUCCAUUCUUAUGUCGAAUACAAUCCUGAACGAAAUUCUAACGUGUUUUAAGUAGUUUGGCGUCGAAAUCAACGUUUGGGAGAAUAUGAAGGAUAUCUGAAGAUUAUGCACCGCUCCGUCUUGUUGGAGAAGCAGCUUGUUGGGACGUCGAGGUGUCUGUUAAAAAUCCUGUGUGUAAUUGAGCGAUACAACAUA